rnacentral:lncRNA from 1 species
CAACUUGAGACAUAGAUACAUUAUUUUUAACAUUUAAUUUUCAUAAUUACCCUUCAAAUUCUUCUCCUUCAAUCUCCUUUCAUCCAUUUUUCCUUCCACUUCCAAAAUACAGAGAGUUUAACCUCUCAUCUUCUCUUCUUGUCACUCCGACCACCGCCGCUUCUCCUACCAUCGUACCACUAGUCUGCCGCCGUCUCUCUUUCUCCUUUCCUUCCACCCAAAUCACUGCCGCCUCUCUUUCUCCUUUCUUCCACUUAGACCACCGCCUCUCCUCCCUUUCUUCCACCCAGACCACUGCUACCACCCCAUCCCUUCCUCCCUUUUCUCCUCCCUCACUUUUUUUUAUCUCUUCGUUGCCGUCACCUUUUGCAGUCUUCACUUCUCGUUCACCAUCUUUUCAGACCGUUCUUCCGCGCACUAUGUUUCUAAAUCCGUACUUUAUUACCAUGUUCCAAAUUCGUUCUCCCUUUUGGCACUAUUUUUUUGUUUUUGUAUAAUUUAAUUUUUUAUUUAUUUGAAUUUUUGUUAAAAUAAUUUUGUGUUAGAUUGAAUUUUUUUGUUGAUAUUUGUUAGAUUAAAUUUGUUAUUUAGUUUUAGAUUGUUAUUGGUAGUUAUUUUUUGUUGAGAUGGUGGCUGAAUGAUAGUAGUUUGGUUGAGAUAGUAGUUGUGUAAUGGAGGUACUGAUAACAGUUUGCAAUAAGGGUAAUAUUGAAAUUUAACAUGAUUGUGAUUUGUGUCUUCUGUUUUGUAUUUUUAUACCAAACAAGUUUAAAAAAUUUGUGUAUUGUUGUGUCUGUGUCUUCAGUGUCUAUGCAAACGCAGCCAUAGGUAACGUGUUAGCACGUGGCGCACAUCCAUUCAACACGCAGGUAACGUAUUGGCCUGCUUUUUUUAUAUCUCCACAAUUCUAUAAAACACCCCAAACAUCUAUAUUUAAACAAAACACCAUUUUUUUCUCCAUAUUUAAAAUAAUUUCGGACUUAAAAAGAUAAUAUACAUGCAACUAAAAUUUUAGUUGAAGUGACAAAUCAUAGUGCUUUUAAUAUGCUCACUUUGGUUCUAAACUUAGCAAAGAUCAAAUAGUGGAUAGAACCCUAAAGUGUUGUGUAUGUAUUGCGAAUUUGUGAUGAGUUUCUAACGUUGUAAUACUUAAUAUUGAGAAUUGUCUAAUUUAUCUUUAAAAGUAAAAAAAAAAAUACACAUUGAAACAAACCUAAAACAUAAGUUAUGGAGGAUGAAAAUAAGUGAAUUUGAUAAUAGAUCAUCUACGAAGGAUGAAAAUGGCAUGGUAUGAUAUGUAUGUGGAGAAUAGAGACAAAGUAAAAUGAUGUUUGUGUAGAUAGAAACACAAAGUGGAGCAAUUUGUCCAUGUUUAACCUCUGAGACAAGGUACUAUAGGCAGCUAGCUGGUGAAUCUUGUUGGUUCGCAGCACUUGUCGUGUUCUUUUCUUCUUGUUAGUUACCCUUUUCGCAGGGAACAUGGGUCCUUUCUCAUGUGCCAAACUUCUAUCAUGUCAUGUUAUUUUCAACUUAUUUAUAGUCGCG